rnacentral:rRNA from 1 species
UACGGAGGGGGCUAGCGUUGUUCGGAAUUACUGGGCGUAAAGCGUACGUAGGCGGCUUUGUAAGUUAGAGGUGAAAGCCCGGGGCUCAACUCCGGAACUGCCUUUAAGACUGCAUCGCUUGAAUCCGGGAGAGGUGAGUGGAAUUCCGAGUGUAGAGGUGAAAUUCGUAGAUAUUCGGAAGAACACCAGUGGCGAAGGCGGCUCACUGGACCGGUAUUGACGCUGAGGUGCGAAAGCGUGGGGAGCAAAAGGG